rnacentral:rRNA from 1 species
UACGUAGGGGGCAAGCGUUGUCCGGAAUUAUUGGGCGUAAAGAGCGUGUAGGCGGUCCGGUAAGUCAGCUGUGAAAGUCAAGGGCUCAACCCUUGAAAGCCGGUUGAUACCGUCGGGCUAGAGUCCGGAAGAGGCGAGUGGAAUUCCCGGUGUAGCGGUGAAAUGCGCAGAUAUCAGGAAGAACACCCGUGGCGAAGGCGGCUCUCUGGGACGGUACUGACGCUGAGACGCGAAAGCGUGGGGAGCGAACAGG